AACUAACAAGGAUUCCCCUAGUAGCGGCGAGCGAAGCGGGAAGAGCUCAAAUUUAUAAUCUGGCACUUUCAGUGUCCGAGUUGUAAUCUCUAGAAGUGUUUUCCGCGUUGGACCGCACACAAGUCUGUUGGAAUACAGCGGCACAGUGGUGACACCCCCGUACACGGUGCGGACGCCCAGCGCUUUGUGAUACACUUUCGAAGAGUCGAGUUGUUUGGGAAUGCAGCUCAAAUUGGGUGGUAAAUUCCAUCUAAAGCUAAAUAUUGGCGAGAGACCGAUAGCGAACAAGUACCGUGAGGGAAAGAUGAAAAGCACUUUGGAAAGAGAGUUAACAGUACGUGAAAUUGUUGGAAGGGAAACGCUUGAAGUCAGACUUGCUUGCCGGAGCUUGCUUCGGUUUGCAGGCCAGCAUCAGUUUUCCGGGGUGGAUAAUGGCGGUUAGAAGGUAGCAGCUUCAGCUGUGUUAUAGCUUUCC
rnacentral:rRNA from 1 species